rnacentral:rRNA from 1 species
CCUACGGGGGGCAGCAGUCGAGAAUCAUUCACAAUGGGGGAAACCCUGAUGGUGCGACGCCGCGUGGGGGAAUGAAGGUCUUCGGAUUGUAAACCCCUGUCAUGUGGGAGCAAAUUAAAAAGAUCGUACCACAAGAGGAAGAGACGGCUAACUCUGUGCCAGCAGCCGCGGUAAUACAGAGGUCUCAAGCGUUGUUCGGAAUCACUGGGCGUAAAGCGUGCGUAGGCUGUUUCGUAAGUCGGGUGUGAAAGGCGCGGGCUCAACCCGCGGACGGCACAUGAUACUGCGAGACUAGAGUAAGGGAGGGGGAACCGGAAUUCUCGGUGUAGCAGUGAAAUGCGUAGAUAUCGAGAGGAACACUCGUGGCGAAGGCGGGUUCCUGGACAUUAACUGACGCUGAGGCACGAAGGCCAGGGGGGCGAAAGGGAUUAGAUACCCGGGUAGUC